rnacentral:rRNA from 1 species
UCCUACGGGGGGCAGCAGUAGGGAAUCUUCCACAAUGGGCGAAAGCCUGAUGGAGCAACGCCGCGUGGGUGAAGAAGGUCUUCGGAUCGUAAAACCCUGUUGUUAGAGAAGAAAGUGCGUGAGAGUAACUGUUCACGUUUCGACGGUAUCUAACCAGAAAGCCACGGCUAACUACGUGCCAGCAGCCGCGGUAAUACGUAGGUGGCAAGUGUUAUCCGGAUUUAUUGGGCGUAAAGGGAACGCAGGCGGGCUUUUAAGUCUGAUGUGAAAGCCUUCGGAUUUACCGGGGUAGUGAAUUGGAAACU